UACGUAGGGGGGCUAGCGUUGUCCGGAUUUAUUGGGCGUAAAGAGCGUGUAGGCGGCCAUUUAGGUCCGGUGUGAAAACUCGAGGCUUAACCUCGAGAUGUCAUCGGAAACCAUUUGGCUAGAGUCCGGAAGAGGAGAGUGGAAUUCCUGGUGUAGCGGUGAAAUGCGCAGAUAUCAGGAAGAACACCAAUGGCGAAAGCAGCUCUCUGGGACGGUACUGACGCUGAGACGCGAAAGCGUGGGGAGCGAACAGG
rnacentral:rRNA from 1 species